GACGGUCACUCACCAUGUGACGUUACCAAACUGUUGCCUCGGCGGGAUCUCUGCUCGGGUGCGUCGCAGCCCCGGACCAAGGCGCCCGGGGAGGACCAACCAAAACUCUUUUUGUAUACCCCCUCGCGGGUUUUUUAUAAUCUGAGCCUUCUCGGCGUUCAAAGUAGGCGUUUCGAAAAUGAAUCAAAACUUUCAACAACGGAUCUCUUGGUUCUGGCAUCGAUGAAGAACGCAGCGAAAUGCGAUAAGUAAUGUGAAUUGCAGAAUUCAGUGAAUCAUCGAAUCUUUGAACGCACAUUGCGCCCGCCAGUAUUCUGGCGGGCAUGCCUGUCCGAGCGUCAUUUCAACCCUCGAACCCCUCCGGGGGGUCGGCGUUGGGGAUCGGCCCUGCCUCUUGGCGGUGGCCGUCUCCGAAAUACAGUGUCCCGUCUCGCCCCAGCCUCUCCUGCGCAGUAGAUUGCACACUCGCAUCGGGAGCGCGGCGCGUCCACAGCCGUUAAACACCCAACUUCUGAAAUGUUGACCUCGGAUCAGGUAGGAAUACCCGCUGAACUUAAGCAUAUCAAUAAGCGGAGGAA
rnacentral:rRNA from 1 species